UGGCUCAGUGGUUAGAGCACUGGCUGAUCUUCCAGAGGUCCUGGGUUCAAUUCCCAG
rnacentral:tRNA from 1 species